CAAAUCUUGACAUCCUCUGACCCCUCUAGAGAUAGAGUUUUCCCCUUCGGGGGACAGAGUGACAGGUGGUGCAUGGUUGUCGUCAGCUCGUGUCGUGAGAUGUUGGGUUAAGUCCCGCAACGAGCGCAACCCUUAAGCUUAGUUGCCAUCAUUAAGUUGGGCACUCUAAGUUGACUGCCGGUGACAAACCGGAGGAAGGUGGGGAUGACGUCAAAUCAUCAUGCCCCUUAUGAUUUGGGCUACACACGUGCUACAAUGGACAAUACAAAGGGCAGCGAAACCGCGAGGUCAAGCAAACCCCAUAAAGUUGUUCUCAGUUCGGAUUGUAGUCUGCAACUCGACUAUAUGAAGCUGGAAUCGCUAGUAAUCGUAGAUCAGCAUGCUACGGUGAAUACGUUCCCGGGUCUUGUACACACCGCCCGCCACACCACGAGAGUUUGUAACACCCGAAGCCGGUGGAGUAACCUUUUGGAGCUAGCCGUCGAAGGUGGGACAAAUGAUUGGGGUG
rnacentral:rRNA from 1 species